rnacentral:rRNA from 1 species
CUGAGUACGGCGGAACACGUGAAAUUCCGUCGGAAUCCGGGAGGACCAUCUCCCAAGGCUAAAUACUCCCUAGUGACCGAUAGUGAACCAGUACCGUGAGGGAAAGGUGAAAAGCACCCCGGAAGGGGAGUGAAACAGUUCCUGAAACCGUGUGCCUACAAGUAGUUAGAGCCCGUUAAUGGGUGAUAGCGUGCCUUUUGUAGAAUGAACCGGCGAGUUACGAUUUGUUGCAAGGUUAAGCGGAAAAAGCGGAGCCGUAGCGAAAGCGAGUCUGAAUAGGGCGCAUAAGUAACAGGUCGUAGACCCGAAACCAGGUGAUCUACCCAUGUCCAGGAUGAAGGUAAGGUAAUACUUACUGGAGGUCCGAACCCACGCACGUUGAAAAGUGCGGGGAUGAGGUGUGGGUAGCGGAGAAAUUCCAAUCGAACUUGGAGAUAGCUGGUUCUCUCCGAAAUAGCUUUAGGGCUAGCCUCGAGGUAAAGAGUCAUGGAGGUAGAGCACUGUUUGGACUAGGGGCCCUUCUCGGGUUACCGAAUUCAGAUAAACUCCGAAUGCCAUGUACUUAUACUCGGGAGUCAGACUGCGAGUGAUAAGAUCCGUAGUCGAAAGGGAAACAGCCCAGACCACCAGUUAAGGUCCCCAAAUAUAUGUUAAGUGGAAAAGGAUGUGGGGUUGCUUAGACAACCAGGAUGUUGGCUUAGAAGCAGCCACCAUUGAAAGAGUGCGUAAUAGCUCACUGGUCGAGUGACCCCGCGCCGAAAAUGUACCGGGGCUAAACAUAUUACCGAAACUGUGGAUGAACCUCUUUAGAGGUUCGUGGUAGGAGAGCGUUCUAAGGGCGGUGAAGUCAGACCGGAAGGACUGGUGGAGCGCUUAGAAGUGAGAAUGCCGGUAUGAGUAGCGAAAGAAGGGUGAGAAUCCCUUCCACCGAAUAUCUAAGGUUUCCUGAGGAAGGCUCGUCCGCUCAGGGUUAGUCGGGACCUAAGCCGAGGCCGAUAGGCGUAGGCGAUGGACAACAGGUAGAGAUUCCUGU